CUUGGUCAUUUAGAGGAAGUAAAAGUCGUAACAAGGUCUCCGUUGGUGAACCAGCGGAGGGAUCAUUACCGAGUUAUACAACUCAUCAACCCUGUGAACAUACCUAAAACGUUGCUUCGGCGGGAACAGACGGCCCCGUAACACGGGCCGCCCCCGCCAGAGGACCACCUAACUCUGUUUCUAUAAUGCUUUUUCUGAGUAAAACAAGCAAAUAAAUUAAAACUUUCAACAACGGAUCUCUUGGUUCUGGCAUCGAUGAAGAACGCAGCGAAAUGCGAUAAGUAAUGUGAAUUGCAGAAUUUAGUGAAUCAUCGAAUCUUUGAACGCACAUUGCGCCCCUUGGUAUUCCGAGGGGCAUGCCUGUUCGAGCGUCAUUACAACCCUCAAGCAUUGCUUGGUAUUGGGCUCCGCUGCUCACCCAGCGGGCCUUAAAAUCAGUGGCGGUGCCGUCAGGCCCUGAGCGCAGUAAAUAUCCUCGCUAUAGGGACCUGGUGGACGCUGGCCAGCAACCCCCAUUUUCUAAGUUUGACCUCGGAUCAGGUAGGGAUACCCGCUGAACUUAAGCAUAUCAAUAAGCGGAGGA
rnacentral:rRNA from 1 species